rnacentral:lncRNA from 1 species
GGGUAAUCGGAUUCAAAACAACAUUAGAGCAACAACUUUGCCUACAUACAAUCUGGUAUCACGGUCGCCUCGUUCAGCAAAGCAGACGAGGAUCGCUUGUAUUUCUGAAAACCGGAAAUAAAGACACUUUCAGUUUGAGAAAGGGGCAGACGGAAGCAAUGGUCACACAGAAGAGGACACACCUCCUGAGAUUUCCUUUUCAAAUGUCCUACGUGGACCGCCUCUGGAGGAUGGAGUCCGUGGUUUCGCUGAAUGCGUUUACCUCUAGGCGUGGCCUGUAGUGAGCGUCACUCCACCCUGCCAUAGCCAGGUGCUCUAAUGGUGCUCUAGUAGUGACUAGAGAUACCCCACGCAGGGUGAAGCCCUCAUCUAGGCUGUGAAGUGAUCUGUUUUGGAAAGUAUGAGGGUUUUAAUAAGACAGUGCACAGGACAACCUGAGAAUAGGAGAAAAGCGUCACAAUAGAAUAAAGGUCACUAUCUAUCAUGUCACCAUUCCUCCUGGCGGGAGCCUCAGGCUUGAGAAGGGACGUGGAAACCGGUAGGAGUCGGGGUGGGGGGGAUCCUCUCCACAGUCAGAGAAGCAGAAAAUAACUCCCAGGAGGAGGGCCUCUCAGAAAGGCCAUGCAGAAGAACCUUCAGGAGACUCUCUUUCCCAUCCAAGGCUUCGGCUUCCCAUGACUGGAAGGGCUUUUUGGUCACACAGGCUGUUUCGGUCAUCUGUGCUCCUCUAAGUAAUUACUUAUCCACACUCCUGAAUGACUUCAGUAGAAUCAUCAGCUUGAUCACUAGCACUUCCCUAUCUGCGGUGAGCAGACGUCUGUGCUGUGUCUGCUCAGAAAAGUCUCAAACAAUGGCCACCGAUGGAAACCUCCCAGGGCAGAUCCUACUCAACUGCUUCUUCGAGUCGGAUGACUCAAGAUGCUUCAGUUCCCACUGACUGUCUCUAGCCAGCAUGGUCUUAACCAGAGAAGAUAAUCAAGAACAAUUAGAAAAGGUAUUGAAGUGGGAAAUGGAGGGUCGGGGAUGAAG